GACGAACGCUGGCGGCGUGCUUAACACAUGCAAGUCGAACGGAAAGGCCCUGCUUUUGUGGGGUGCUCGAGUGGCGAACGGGUGCGUAACACGUGAGUAACCUGCCCUUGACUUUGGUAUAACUUCAGGAAACUGGGGCUAAUACCGGAUAGGAGCUCCUGCUGCAUUGUGGGGGUUGGAACGUUUCGGCGGUUGGGGAUGGACUGGCGGCUUAUCAGCUUGUUGGUUGGGUAGUCGCUUACCAAGGCUUUGAAGGGUAGCCGGCCUGAGAGGGUGACCGGGGUCAUGGCGACUGAGGGAGGGCCCAGAGUGGUAUGGGAGGCAGUAGGGGGGAAUAUGGCACAGUCGGAGGGAGUGGGAGGAAGAAACGCUGGGGGUGGGAAGACGGCUUGUGGGGUGAGAAAAGCAGCAGCUUGAGACGCAGCGGGAGUGACGGUAAUGAAUAAAGAAGCACCGGCUAACUACGUG
rnacentral:rRNA from 1 species